UUCCAGACUCCUCGGGAGGCAGCAGUGGGGAAUAUUGCACAAUGGGCGCAAGCCUGAUGCAGCCAUGCCGCGUGUGUGAAGAAGGCCUUCGGGUUGUAAAGCACUUUCAGCGGGGAGGAAGGCAAUAAGGUUAAUAACCUUGUUGAUUGACGUUACCCGCAGAAGAAGCACCGGCUAACUCCGUGCCAGCAGCCGCGGUAAUACGGAGGGUGCAAGCGUUAAUCGGAAUUACUGGGCGUAAAGCGCACGCAGGCGGUCUGUCAAGUCGGAUGUGAAAUCCCCGGGCGCAACCUGGGAACUGCAUUCGAAACUGGCAGGCUAGAGUCUUGUAGAGGGGGGUAGAAUUCCAGGUGUAGCGGUGAAAUGCGUAGAGAUCUGGAGGAAUACCGGUGGCGAAGGCGGCUCCCUGGACAAAGACUGACGCUCAGGUGCGAAAGCGUGGGGAGCAAACAGGAUUAGAUACCCCUGUAAA
rnacentral:rRNA from 1 species